rnacentral:tRNA from 1 species
AACUAGAUAGCUUAUAAAUUAAAGCCCUUAACUUUUAAUUAAGAGAUAUAUUAAAUUCUAGUUA